GCAGAAUGUCUCCGAUUCGUGAGAGAAUGCUGAAUGCCAAAUUAGCUAGAACUCGGGAGUACGCUUCGAUUAUCGCUUGUCCAACGUCCUACGUGCGGAAAGUUCAAGGAAUCAACAAUAGUUGGGAGUGAAUUGAGAAAUUGGAUCUUUCAUGAAGGACCAUGACGUCCGAACAGGCAUCGAUUCUGAGCUCAACAUCCUGUGGAGCUCCUCCCCGAGGGCUGCCUUACCAGACUGCAAAAACAAACAGCAAAUAAUGAAUCGGCAUUUCGGCCAAGACGCUUUCAUUGAUGGCUUUGACAGCUUUGAAAACUUGAUAUAUCAAUUUACCGUGAUGCAGUAACCGUUUUCUCUCCAUGUCUGAGAGGCCAGAUCUAGGUACACAUGGAGAAGGAAGCCACCAUCGUUUGCUCUCUCCUGCGCUCCUGCUCCGCCCUUCUGCUCGGCUCCCCACUUCCGAGUACCAGAAUUCGGUGCCAACCAUUGAAUCGAGUGCUUCCUAUGAGUUCACAAAAUCAGUUUAAGUAAUCUGCUGAAAAGUUAAAAUCAAUUCCAGAGCGAAGAGGCCACCUACAAUUAGCAUGGAAUCCAACUUCCGCAGCGCUGGAAGAUUCAUUUGGACGUCAGCACGAACUCUUGGAACCAUUAUCUAUUCCAAAUCAGAGUGAAGCCUAAGAAUCACUACUACUGAAAUUUUGAAGGAUUGGAAGUAAGGAUUAUGGAGCACGUACCUCCAUCGAACGCCCUUUAGUACCGGUUUGUUUUGCAGGAACUAACUCAACCAUAUGUUCAGUCGGCGAAAGCAGCCAAUCCAUUUCUCUUCGCCACUGUCUCUUUCUCUCCUCCGGCAAUGGCUCCAGCUUCCACAGCUCUCCAAAAACAGAAGCUGCUGAAUUUGUUAUGGCAUUGGACAAAGCUAAUGCAGUGGAAAUCCCUUUAGCACCUCCAGUGAUAUCCUCUCCAAGCAACAAGUUGGCGAAUUUUUCCCUCAUUGCUUCAACUUCCGGAGGGUGGCUGGUGCAGCCGAGUUGUUUUUCUUUUUCUGCUGAGGUUGCUGAGCUGUUAUAUUCGUCUCGAGACGUGUCCUCUUUCUUCAUUGUCAUCCAGAUAGAUGAGAAUGACCCAAAUGCAUUGGUACUGGAAGAACAGGUGGAAUCAUCGUCAUCGAAGGAAUCAGUGAUGCAACCGUCUCCUCUGCUCGUCCCGCUUUCGUUCUCGAAGGAAUUGCUGUUGUGAAUGCACGUCUCCAGGCCACUGUACGUCAUUAUUCCUGAAAGCAGAUGGUUUUCGAGUUAGUGUUCUUGAAGAUGAUCCUGGCUGCAAAAAGGAAACAAAAACAGUCCAGCAAGGGAGUUUCUUCCCCAUGAUCAUUCCUGUGCUGCUCAUGUGAAGAAAUUGAAAGAGAAAACUCUUCAGCAAUCAAGAAAACACAAAAUGGCACCAUAAUUGGAAGAGAAAACGCGAAGGGGGAACAAGAACUACUGCGUUUUUGUACCCUGAGAAGAACAGAGGUAAGGAUUCUUGCUUAUCAAAACCUUGGAAUUUCAGGGGAAAAGGAAAUGGAAAUGUGAGAUCAAGAAUGUGAG